AAAUGCGAUAAGUAAUGUGAAUUGCAGAAUUCCGUGAAUCAUCGAAUCUUUGAACGCACAUUGCGCCCUCUGGCAUUCCGGGGGGCAUGCCUGUCCGAGCGUCAUUACGCACCCUCAAGCCCGGCUUGUGUGAUGGGCCCCGGCGUCUCGUUCGCGAGACGGGCCUGAAAGGCAGCGGCGGCGUCGACCCGAUGAGCCCGAGCGUAUGGGGACUUCUGUCACACGUUCGCGGUGCGGACCGGCGCCUGCUUGACUUUUCUGAUUAUCCAGGUUGACCUCGGAUCAGGUAGGGAUACCCGCUGAACUUAAGC
rnacentral:misc_RNA from 1 species